CCGCGUGAGGGAUGAAGUAUCUUGGUAUGUAAACCUCUUUUCUCAAGAAAGAAGUUCUGACGGUACUUGAGGAAUAAGCAUCGGCUAACUCCGUGCCAGCAGCCGCGGUAAUACGGGGGAUGCAAGCGUUAUCCGGAAUCAUUGGGCGUAAAGCGCCUGUAGGUUGUUUAGUAAGUCCAUUGUUAAAGACCAGGGCUUAACCCUGGGAAAGCAAUAGAAACUACUAGACUUGAGUAUGGCAGGGGUAGAGGGAAUUUCUAGUGUAGCGGUGAAAUGCGUAGAUAUUAGAAAGAACACCGGUGGCGAAAGCGCUCUACUGGACCAUUACUGACACUGAGAGGCGAAAGCUAGGGUAGCAAAAGGGAUUAGAUACCCCUGUAGUCCUAGCCGUAAACGAUGGAUACUAGGUGUUGUGCAGUUCGUACAGUAUCUUAGCUAACGCGUUAAGUAUCCCGCCUGGGGAGUACGCUCGCAAGGGUGAAACUCAAAGGAAUUGACGGGGGCCCGCACAAGCGGUGGAGCAUGUGGUUUAAUUCGAUGCAACGCGAAGAACCUUACCAGGGCUUGACAUACUACAGAUCUUUUAGAGAUAAAAGAGUGCCUUCGGGAAUGUAGAUACAGGUGGUGCAUGGCUGUCGUCAGCUCGUGUCGUGAGAUGUUGGGUUAAGUCCCGCAACGAGCGCAACCCUCGUUUUUAGUUGCCAAUUUAUUGGGCUUUCUAGAGAGACUGCCGGUGAAAAACCGGAGGAAGGUGAGGAUG
rnacentral:rRNA from 2 species